GGUAGUGCCCUCCGUGACUUCCCUGCCCCCUCUCUUGGCUUCUCUGAGGCUUGGCCACCAGCAGAGCCAGGGGCGUUAGACUCAUGGCUUCGGAGGAUGAGGAUGUCAUUGGCCUGGAGAGGAUCAAACAAGGAGAGAGAGACUGCAGGGCCACCACCGGCAGAGGGAGCCCCAAAUCACACAGCCGGCCCCUGGCUGCCUCUUGCGCCUGAAACAGAGCCCCAGCUCACCAGCUGCUGCACCAGGAAGAAAUCCUUCUUAUAGAUGGCAAUGCCCUUGUUGAACAGCUUCCUCUCAGCCAUCUUCCACUGGUCAGAACCUGUAAGGCAAAGCGGGAGCCAGAGUUAGUGAGGUGGAUGGGACUGUGAGUGACCAGCAGAAAAGUGUGAAGUCAUCUGUCCACGGUCUCUGCAGCCAUUCAGAGCUGGAUCCAUAUUUCUGCUUCCGCCACUUACUAGCCUCUGAGCCUCAAUCACCUCACUUGGGAACUGGGACCUGGUCACACAAGCCACCUCACCAAUUGUGGUGCAGACUCAAGGAGAUAAUGCACGGGGAACCCUUGCUGCUCUGCCUGGCACACACAAGAGGUACCACUCAACAGGGAUCGGUGGCUGCUGUGAUUAUGCCAUUUGGUCACUGUCCCUUUAAAAGCACAGUGCCCAGGAUGGGACAUGGCACUCCAGGGGUUGUCUAAGUUCCAAGCACCGGAUGCCAAUUGGGAUGGCACUCCCCAGAUUCCUGUCCCUUGCACCUUGCCAUGGACUUUUUUGCCUGCAUGGGCUCCCACCUGCCCACGCCUUUCUCUCUGCCCCUUCAGGGCACAGGAAGCCCCUUGAGAACCACCCCAUCUUUGGUGUCAGUUCUUUCACUCUGGCUCUUGGCUUAUCUGCCCCCGACCUCCUCACCCCCAUCCAGGGCUGUGACUCAGCACCAAGCUGGGCCCCGCUGAUGCUGGAGACCUUGAGGCUCCAGGUCCCAGGCUCACCUGUGUAGUGAUAAGUUGCCAGUGGGUGGUUAUGGGGCCGCAGGGGCUUCUUCAGUAGCAGCUUAUUCAGCGUUUCCUGAAGGGGAAGUGAGGAAAAGGUCAGUGCCCUGCAGGGGUCUCAGUGGUAGGCUGAGCCUCCUAGGUGCCAGGCACAAUUCAGAAGGCCUCUUCAACCCUCUGAGUAGUAAGGUGGGCAUUUAUUUUUACCCUGCGUAACCACUGAGGGGCAAGAGGUUUGGCAGGAUGGUGAGAUCACGGAGGGUGGAGCUGCUCAGGAACCAGGCCAAGGGCCUCUUAAGAGAGAACAUGUGGCCCCCAGGACAGACAGCCAGAGGUGGAGAAAGGCCUCAGCGACAGCCUUUCUGAGGGCGGGGACCCACUGACCCAGAAUCAGGGACUAGGGUAGACAAGAGGACCCUGUGCAGCAAAGUCUGGAGUUUGGAACUACGACUACCUUCGGUGGAGUCCCUACAACCCCCAACCUGGUCAGACCCUCCUGCCUGCCUCCAAUCAGUAGGCCAGCAGCCCUGGCUCCUGGGCAGCAGACAUGGAUCCACGCGAGCCUCCCUCAGGGUCCCUCCCCCACCAGGGCCAUCAUCUCACCAGGAUGUCUCCCCUGGACUCAUGCAGACAGUGCAGGGCCAGCUCCUGGUUGGUGCCAGCUCCAGGGAAAAUACUGGAGCAGGCGGCUGUCAACAGGUCUUCCACUGGAGCAAGCGUGGGAGGGGAGGAGAAGAAAUCUCGUUCAGGGCCGAACCCACCCACCUGUCCAACAGCCCACCUUCACUUGCUGGUGCAGGCCCCCUCUCACCUUGCCUCUGCUUCUCCCGGCUGCUCUCUAGGUCCUCCCACGGCUGCCACACCAAGUCGGCCUUGUGGGGGUCUGCAGCUGCCAGAGCACGAUCCCUUAAGGAGGGGAUUUCCGCUUGGAACCGGGAGCCCACGUUGAUCCGUCUGCAGGGGUGGAAAGGGCAGGGAGUGAGGCCUCACCUCGCGGGCACAGGGAAUCUUUCUCUCUGGGAUGGGAGAAGAUGCAGGGGGUAGUCCGCAGACGCUGAGCACAGCAAGACCUCAACGGAGUGUAAGGAAUUUGGCUUCCGUGAGAACACCCUGGCAAACGGGACCUGGUAGUGCCAGAAAGACAAGGCCCAGAGGUUGGAAAGGGGAGAAGCUUCAAGUUUACAGAUAGGGAAAGAGUCUCUUGGACUGCCCUGCCGAUACUCAGAGGCAAAUUCAAACCGAGCUGGUCCUUUCCUUUAGGGUGGGGACAGUAAAGCCCAGAGCCAGUUGCAGAAUCUCAGAGGCUGUUCAGCCCUCUGUGGGCCCCACACAACCCUCCUCUUCCUCACAGGGCCUGCGUGCACUGGACCCCAUCGGCCACCCUCGUACCAUAGGCCAGAGGAAGGGCUGCACUUACGGCUCGAUGCUCACUGGGGUGGCCUCCCCCAUCACAGAGAGGACAGGUGGGGUGACUUCAGCGCUAUCUAUGGGACAAAAGGCACAUCGGUGAACGGCACCCUCCUGACUUCAGCAAGCUGCCCCUCCCCCACCCCACCCUACAUGGCUGCUCUGUUUGCACAAGAGCCAUGGCAGUGACUCACAGAGACUCGUACUUGGAAAUCAGGCACGGUGAAUCCUGGCUCCUCAGCCUGCAACUGUGACGACUAACUGUGACUUUGCCAAGCACGUGGGUGCUUCUGUUUUCACACCUGCUGCAAGGGGCUAUUACUACCUACCUCCUAGGGUUAAUGCGAGGACUGAAUGAAAUCAUGCACAAAGCCUCGCCCUCAAUAAAUAUUAGCUACUACUACUACUACUACUACCACCACCCAAAGCUGGGCCCCUGCCCCAGGAGCUCCCAUACUACAGAAUUAGCUCCAACAUUAAACUAUGCUUGCUCUAGUAAAGAAGCUGAAACGUUUGGCACACUAGCAAGGCAGUGAAGGAGAACCCUGUUUAUAUCUCCUCACUUCCAUGCUGGAUUCUCUGCCUCAGUUUCUCCUGAACUAAUCUUAGUGCCCCACAUGGAGGCACUCCCUUGCUCCAAAAACCUUUGCUGACCUCCCCCCCUUUGCAACUUGCAACUCCUCAGCUCGGCUCACUCAUGCAGCUCCCCUUUCAUCUAUGCCUCCCACCACCCCCUUGCCCGGACCCUGGAACCUAGCUGACUGCUUACUCAUGGCUCCUCGCUCUUCCUGCACGGUCCUACCUCCAGGCCUUUCCACCACUCAUUCCGGUGCCGAGUGUGCCCUCCCCACCUCCUUCCUAGUUCAAGCUCUUAGCUCUAGCCCCACCCUCUCCUGGAGGCUUUCUCACCACCCCAGGCUAGUAGGCUCUGCAGGCUUUGGAGGUUAGGGUCUCCCUCACUCACUGGCUGUUGAUCCCACUGUGCCCAGAACCUCUGCUUUUCUGUCUCCCAGGUUUCCAUGUCAACUCCCCAAUGACCCUGUACUCUCUUUAGAACUGACAGACCGGUGCUGUCCCAUACACUACUGGAGCCUUCACAGGACCCAGUUCAAUGCUUUACGCCCAGGUACUCGAUAAAUGCUCAUGGAUGGACAGGCCUCUCUUUGUUGCCAGUCUGGUCUCUACAGUGAUUUCUUCCUGCGCAACCCAGGCACGGAGAGAAGCUUGGAAGGUACGUGGGAGGGUGGAAUGGAAGGCCAGCCAGCCAGCCCAGAGUGAGCCAUUUCUCACCCACAGACACCAGGGGGCACCAGAGAGCUAGGGCAUGGGAGGUCAGGGUCAAAGGGUAAUCUAGUGAUGGGAGGCUUCACCCUUGUUCUACUACCUCUGGAGGUGUUUACUCCCACUUAAUCCUCCACCACACUGCGAGAUAAGAUUAUCCCAUUUUUCAAAGGAAAUGGAUCUUUUUGUGGAGUGGCCCACAUUUUUCAACAGUUCACCACCCGGGCCAGCCAAAAUGUCUGCUUUUGGCCAAAACAACUAUUUAAGAGCCCCAGGAGGCAGGAUCUACCACAUAAUAUUAAGAGCAAACAUGAUGCGUCAGGCAUGGUGUUUUAAGUGCUUUACGUUUGUUGCUGCCUCUGAACCUCACCACAACCCCGUGAGUUGGCUAUCAGGUUGAACAUAGGAAACUGCUAUUUGUGGAUCCAGAAAUAGAUUAAAUUGGCAAUUUCACCAACAACCAAGUACUACUAAUAUCCUCAAUUAAAUACUAAAGAAACUGAA